GAUGAACGCUGGCGGCGUGCUUAACACAUGCAAGUCGAACGGAGAUUACUUUGACAGAGACUUCGGUUGAAGUCGUUGUAAUCUUAGUGGCGGACGGGUGAGUAACGCGUGGGUAACCUGCCUUAUACUGGGGGAUAACAGCCGGAAACGGCUGCUAAUACCGCAUAAGCGCACGGGAGCGCAUGUUCCUGUGUGAAAAACUCCGGUGGUAUAAGAUGGACCCGCGUUGGAUUAGCUAGUUGGCAGGGCAGCGGCCUACCAAAGCGACGAUCCAUAGCCGACCUGAGAGGGUGACCGGCACAUUGGGACUGAGACACGGCCCAGACUCCUACGGGAGGCAGCAGUGAGGAUAUUGCACAAUGGAGGAAACUCUGAUGCAGCGACGCCGCGUGAAGGAUGAAGUAUUUCGG
rnacentral:rRNA from 1 species